AGCAGCCGCGGUAAUUCCAGCUCCAAUAGCGUAUAUUAGAGUUGUUGCAGUUAAAAAGCUCGUAGUUGAAUUUUAGGCCUGGCCAGGCGGUCCGUCUUUGGCGAGUACUGUCUUGUUGUCGGGUCUUCCUUCUGGUGAACCAGUAUGCCCUUUAUUUGGGUGUGUUGGGGGAGCCAGGACCAUUACCUUGAAAAAAAUUAGAGUGUUUAAAGCGGGCUAUUGCUUGAAUAGAUUAGCAUGGAAUAAUAGAAUAGGACGUUGUGGUUCUAUUUUGUUGGUUUCUAGGACCACCGUAAUGAUUAAUAGGGAUAGUUGGGGGCAUUAGUAUUCAAUUGUCAGAGGUGAAAUUCUUGGAUUUAUUGAAGACUAACUAUUGCGAAAGCAUUUGCCAAGGAUAUUUUCAUUAAUCAAGAACGAAAGUUAGGGGAUCGAAGACGAUCAGAUACCGUCGUAGUCUUAACCAUAAACUAUGCCGACUAGGAAUCGGGCGACGUUAUUUUCAUGACUCGCUCGGCGCCUU
rnacentral:rRNA from 1 species